GAGUUGAGAAUAUAGGUGUCAUUAUAUACUUAAACGGUAUUUUAAAUUAUUAAAAAAUAGUUAAUAAUUUAUUUUAUCGGUUAAUCUUUAUAUAAUUUGAUUGUUAAAGUUGAUUGUUUUGUUUUUUAUUUUUUGCUUUUUCUUGUAUUAAAAAAAUCUGAAGUUUAAUAAAUUUCCCAUAUUUAAUACAUUGACUUUGUUUUAACGAGAAUUAAAGAGUAAAUCUUUACGAAAUAUAUUUUCAAUUAUUAUAGUAUACCAGAUUAUGCAAAAUCUCUAUAAGUAAAUAAAUGAUUGUUUGAUCUAAAAAUUUUAAAUCGUUAUUAUUAUUAUUAUGCUAGUACAAGUAAAACAAGAGAAAUUUUAUUUUAUUUUUUAACAUAAUCAAGGAGAGAAGGUAAUUAAAGAGAAAAAGAUAAAUAAUUAAAUGAGAUAAUUGUCUUUUUAAUUAACCAUUAAUCAAGGGUCAAUUUGAUUAAAGGUACAAUUAGAGAAUUCCGAAUAAAACUUAGGUAACAAAACUCAAAUUAAUUCAGCUAAACAAACCCAAAGAGAAAAUCAAACAAAAGCAUCAAUAAAAUCAAUCCAUCCCUAAUCUUAGAAACCCUAAAGCAGAAAAUCCCUUACCUCUACCACUUUUAAAGACUAGAUCUAGAGUCAGAAUCCAUAAAACACACAGAAAAUCAACCAAAGCCAAGAAAUAUAGCUUCCAGACAUGGAAGCCCAAUCUUCAGGAUGGACAAGAUUAUAACUACUCUCAUGUUCUAAAGGUAGAUUGGUCACUGUGUUCAGUGAUAGCCACUUGAGAUUCGACGGUUGUAGGUCUGAUCGAACCACCCAAAGCCAUCACACGGAGACUCAAAACAUGAACCUUUUCUUUUCUUAUCUAGAAAGCAAGAGAAAUCAGCGAAUAUCUUAAAUUUUCUCAAAUGUUUCUCUCUUCUUUGAAGUCUUGCUAAGAUAAUCUUAUUUAUUAUUGAGUGAUUA
rnacentral:lncRNA from 1 species